AGCUGAUGCAUCGCGUGGCGGCUUAGGCCGGUUCCACCGCAGCAGCUGUUCCCCUCUGGAGGUUAUAGACCUUCAAAACUUGAAAAGGGCCCUGGUCUCCAGUGGCCCUCUUUU
rnacentral:sRNA from 1 species